rnacentral:tRNA from 1 species
GCUGGCGUAGCUCAGUCGGUAGAGCGGCUCACUCGUAAUGAGCAGGUCAUCGGUUCGAGUCCGAUCGCCAGCUCCA